AACGCAUAUUGCGCCUGCGCCUCGGCAAAGGCAUGUCUGCCUCAGCGUCGGUUUACCCCCUCCAAUCUUACUCCUCUUCUUUGCAGAGAAGAGAGACAGAAGAUUGGGACGUGACCUUCCCUUUCUCUGGGUUGGUUGAAAUCGAUGCCCGUGCCCACCAUCCAAACGAAGGCACAGAAAGGUAGGCCGCUUCAUCAAGCGGCUCUGCCCCUGUGAUCUUCGGGUGAGUGCUCGGGUGACACAGGAAUGCGUCUCUUCCCUUCAUCUAAAGAAGGAGAGAUGUUCAAACAUCUGACCUGAGCUCAGGCAAGACCACCCGCUGAACUUAA
rnacentral:misc_RNA from 1 species